AUGUCAUUAAUUAACACUUUCCACUGAAAUGACUAUAUAAGGACAAAGCCACAAGUUUUGACCCUAUAUGGACAUAAAAUGGUUCUUUGUUGAAAUGACAGUAUAACCACAAAAACAACAUCACAAACACCCUGAAGUUAGGAGGACGCAGCCAUCAUUCUAGAAUGUGUUGAGCCAUUUGCAUUUACAUCAAUCCAGCAUGCUGUAAUUGGUGAGCUAGUGACCUCACAGAGGCCUUUGCACUGAAUUCAACCCGUGGUGAUCAGAUCAGUGUGGAAAAAAGAAUGAGCUAGUGAACUCACAGAAAGUGCUUUAAGUCCCAUUUACUCUUCUGGAGUGACACAAGAGGCAUUUAAGAAGAGCUGAGGAGCUGGCCUUCUGCAGUUAUAAAAACUCAGGACCUAUUUAUCUGGAAUGACUACAACCCUUGGAAUUUAUUAAAAAUCAAUAAUAGUACUGUUUUAACAUGUAGUGGCAAAUGAGACAUACAGCUUGUCUCAGUUGGCCAUCUUCACAAAUUAAGGCCAUAGAAUCCAAGCCUUUAUUUGUUUUGACCACAAUAGGAAAUUCUAUCUAUCCAGUUACUGAAGCUUGCAGAAAAUUGAAUUGAUUUAUGGACUAGCACAGGGAGGGAGAAAGAAUAUUCUGGAUGCUGAAUGCUUACAAAGGAUGGAUAGCUCACUUUACCUUUAGGGAGAAUGCUUUUGAAAAAUCUCUCCGCAAUGACCACAACAUCUCUUUGCAGAGAAAAGAGAGGAGAAUUAAAAAGGGAGAAAGAAUAUUCUGGAUGCUGAAUGCUUACAAAGGAUGGAUAGCUCACUUUACCUUUAGGGAGAAUGCUUUUGAAAAAUCUCUCCGCAAUGACCACAACAUCUCUUUGCAGAGAAAAGAGAGGAGAAUUAAAAGUAAGUAAAGUCCAAUUAAAGGAAACAUGGUGAAAAUUCAGGUAAUUUUGCUAGGGACAAAUAUUUUUCAGCUCAGUUCCAUAAGGGAUUAGUUUAAACAGAUAUCUCAAAAUUGCACAAUACAUUUAUAAAACUGUCAAUAACAUUUCUACUGGGAAGAACCCAUCACUAAAUACACUCCCUAGUUAAAACAGAUUAAUGUUUUCCAGUUUUUCCUAGGCAAGUAAUCUUUCCCCUCAAGAAAAUUUUGCUCGGUUAGAUGACCUGGGAAUGAAUGUCUGUCACAGAUGCAACAGAUUCACGCCUGAAAAUAUUAUAGCUGUUCUAAGAGACAGUCUACAUGGGAACACUCCAAAAAGAUAUUCCAAAUGAACUGAAGGUGUGAAUGUAAAGUGGAUUAUUUAAACUGAAUUGCAUUCAGAAUUAAUGCGGCUUUAUUCAGUUUAGCUUAUUUUAGUUUAGCUAAACCGAAUUAAGGGCAGCCACUAUAAUUCUGAAUUAGAGUAUCCACACAGAGGUUUAAUGCAAUUUAACUAAUCCUCUUUAAAUUAAUACUUGUAGUUAAUUCAGAUUAACUUUCCUGAGUGUUCCUGCGUAGACAAGUCCUAAAAUUUGAGUAGCAUGAGAGGUG